UUGAAGAAAAAGAAAUGAAAUUUCAACAAAUUCUAGAAAAUCAAAGAAAAAUUCAACAAAAGAUGAAGGAAGAUCAAAGAAAGUUAUUUGAUGAAAUCAAGCAUAGGUCAGCGAAAUUAUUUGGAGCUCGGAUCCAAGAAUGGGUACUGGCAAUUCUCAUGAAGAGGAAUGUUCCAAAAUUGCUGCAAGCAACAAUAGUGAAUCAAGAACACUAAUUGAAGGUGUGAAGCUUGUUGAUAUGCAAAAGGAAGCAAACAUAAUGAACUCAAAUUCACAACCUGACUUUUUAAUUUUCUCAAAACCAAACAGGAAAAG
rnacentral:misc_RNA from 1 species